rnacentral:rRNA from 1 species
UACGUAGGGGGCAAGCGUUGUCCGGAAUUAUUGGGCGUAAAGAGCGUGUAGGCGGUCCGGUAAGUCGGCUGUGAAAGCCCAGGGCUCAACCCUGGGAUGCCGGUCGAUACUGCCGGACUAGAGUUCGGAAGAGGCGAGUGGAAUUCCCGGUGUAGCGGUGAAAUGCGUAGAUAUCGUUUGGAACGCCAAUGGUGAAAGCAGGUAGCUGGGGAUGUGCCGACGCUGAGACACGAAAGCCAGGGGAGCGAACGGG